rnacentral:rRNA from 1 species
AUGGUUCAGGUAAUGGAGUUCCUGGUACUGAGGCAAGACAAGAAUGAAAUUUGCAUUUCACCUCCAAGUCUUUCAUAUUACAACUCUAUAUAUCAGCAUGAUUUAGACGCAUGCUUAUCGAUAGAGACCGUUAAGAGCAUUAACCAUUCCUUACCCUCUCUUCAUCACUAUAUAAGUGACACCCAUUCAUUAGUAUCUUGCCUUCUUUUUCCUCGAGAGGCAGUAUAUCACGCCUUCCAAUAUAUACACAAGCCGUAUACCGCCUCUUCAGUUCAGAACAAGAGUUUCUCGCCCUGCUUCAGAACAAGAGCAGACACAAGACCACAAACACGAAAAGGAAGAACCAGAUCUGGUGCAGGGACCUCUCCACCUCCAUCUGCUGCCUCCUCAGCCGGGGACCCAAGGUGUGGUCCGCGACAGCGUAGGGGCUUGUGUAGUACAUGCUCGGCGGCACCUGGCCGCGGAACGCCCACGGAAGCACUGCCUCUGCCAUCCCUCCAAGCACCCCUCCGGCCGUCGAGUGGAUCAGGCCACGCCCCAUUGGCGAAGGAGGGUAGACAAAGUCGAAUUCGGUGGCACCAGGAUGGUGGUGGUGCGCAUGCCGCAGUGGCCGGAGCAGAGGGCUGGGCUCCACAUUGUGAUGGUGCCGGUCAUCAUCGAUGCUGCUUUGUGCGUGCUGGUGCGCAACAUUCUCCCGAUGCACCGUUGGCCGUCGAGGAAUGGCCAUGCCAUCCAGUGAUUUCUUCGAGCUACCACCACGGCCAUAGAGCGGCACGAGGCUGUCAGCAGAUAGUGCGGCCUUGCACACAGGGCACUGCUGCCUUGCUGAAGUGCUGUUGGCACCAGAAGCUGAUACCACCGAUGGGCGCAGCCACUCAUAGAUGCAGGGCCAGCAGUAGAGAUGGCCACAGAGGGUAA